CCUACGGGAGGCAGCAGUGGGGGAUAUUGCACAAUGGAGGGAACUCUGAUGCAGCGACGCCGCGUGAGGGAAGAAGGUUUUCGGAUUGUAAACCUCUGUCUUCGGUGACGAAACGAUACGGUAGCCAAGGAGAAAGCCCCGGCUAACUACGUGCCAGCAGCCGCGGUAAUACGUGGGUGGCAAGCGUUUUCGGGUAUUACUGGGUGUAAAGGGAGCGGAGGGGGGAUGGCAAGUUGAAUGUUUAAGGUACGGGCUCAACAUGUACAAGCGUUCAAAACUGUUUUUCUUGAGUGGAGUAGAGGGAAGCGGAAGUCCUAGUGUAGCGGUGAAAUGCGUAAAUAUUAGGAGGAACACCAGUGGCGAAGGCGGCUUACUGGGCUUUAACUGACGCUGAGGCUCGAAAGCGUGGGGAGCAAACAGGAUUAGAUACCCUUGUAGUC
rnacentral:rRNA from 1 species